GCAGAAGUAGCUCAAUUGGUAGAGCGCCUUCCUUCCAAGUAGGAUGUUGCGGGUUCGAGUCCCGUCUUCUGCUC
rnacentral:tRNA from 1 species